rnacentral:lncRNA from 1 species
GACUUGACCCACAGAGCUGGCCCGAUCCAACCCUGUAAAUGAGAUGGGCUAGACUGCCAUAUGAAUAGUCCAAAUAACAACCGGGCCUAUUUGGCCCGCUCCGCAUCAGCCCAAGGACUAAUAUGGAUUGGACCGGGCUAGCCCAGGUCGGCCAUGAAAAUUUAAAAAAAAUUCUUAAAAAAAAUUUUAUUACUAUUAGUAUUAGAUUUUAUUCCAAUUCAAAUGUCGUACAGCUUGAGGAAGAGGCCAACGA